rnacentral:rRNA from 1 species
AUUGAACGCUGGCGGCAUGCCUUACACAUGCAAGUCGAACGGCAGCACGGGAGCAAUCCUGGUGGCGAGUGGCGAACGGGUGAGUAAUAUAUCGGAACGUGCCCAGUCGUGGGGAUAACGUAGCGAAAGCUACGCUAAUACCGCAUACGAUCUAUGGAUGAAAGCGGGGGAUCGCAAGACCUCGCGCGAUUGGAGCGGCCGAUAUCAGAUUAGGUAGUUGGUGAGGUAAAGGCUCACCAAGCCGACGAUCUGUAGCUGGUCUGAGAGGACGACCAGCCACACUGGGACUGAGACACGGCCCAGACUCCUACGGGAGGCAGCAGUGGGGAAUUUUUGGACAAUGGGCGCAAGCCUGAUCCAGCAAUGCCGCGUGCAGGAUGAAGGCCUGGUUGUAACGUAGUACGUUUGUUACGGUAAC